rnacentral:rRNA from 1 species
CCUACGGGUGGCAGCAGUGGGGAAUAUUGCACAAUGGGGGGAACCCUGAUGCAGCGACGCCGCGUGGGUGAAGAAGCGCCUCGGCGCGUAAAGCCCUGUCAGCAGGGAAGAAAAGGCCGGUACCUGAAGAAGAAGCCCCGGCUAACUACGUGCCAGCAGCCGCGGUAAUACGGCGGGGGCACGCGUUCUCCGGAUUUACUGGGUGUAAAGGGGGCGCAGACGGCAUUGCAAGCCAGGAGUGAAAGCCCGGGGCCCAACCCCGGGACUGCUCUUGAAACUGCGUGGCUGGAGUGUAGGAGGGGCAGGCGGAAUUCCUGGUGUAGCGGUGAAAUGCGUAGAUAUCAGGAGGAACACCGGUGGCGAAGGCGGCCUUCUGG